rnacentral:rRNA from 1 species
GGAAUCUUGGACAAUGGGCGCAAGCCUGAUCCAGCCAUGCCGCGUGAGUGAUGAAGGCCCUAGGGUUGUAAAACUCUUUCGCAGGUGACGAUAAUGACGGUAACCUGAGAAGAAGCCCCGGCUAACCUCGUGCCAGCAGCCGCGGUAAUACGAAGGGGGCUAGCGUUGUUCGGAUUUACUGGGCGUAAAGCGCGUGUAGGCGGAUUGGUAAGUUGGGGGUGAAAUCCCGAGGCUCAACCUCGGAACUGCCUCCAAAACUGUCAGUCUGGACUCAAGUAGAGGCAAGUGGAAUUGCGAGUGUAGAGGUGAAAUUCGUAGAUAUUCGCAGGAACACCAGUGGCGAAGGCGACUUGCUGGACUUGUAGUGACGCUGAGACGCGAAAGCGUGGGGAGCAAAC